UGGAUAAUGUCUGGUCUGACCCUGUCUAAAGACCCCAGCUCUCUGUGGGUGUUGAUAAUGUCUGACCCUGUCUAAAGACCCCAGCUCUCUGUGGGUGUUGAUAAUGUCUGACCCUGUCUAAAGACCCCAGCUCUCUGUGGGUGUUGAUAAUGUCUGACGCUGUCUAAAAUAACCCCUGAACAUCUCAUGACUUUUUUUAAUCAUGGCAGUUAUCUACAGUUUCUCUUUCCCUGGUUGGAAACAUGCAGAAAUAGUUCAUCAUCGUCCCAUUGGAUAAUAAUGGACAUGUGGUAACAUGCAGAACUAGUUCAUCAUCGUUCCAUUGGAUAAUAAUGGACAUGUGGUAACAUGCAGAACUAGUUCAUCAUCGUUCCAUUGGAUAAUAAUUGACAUGUGGUAACAUGCAGAACUAGUUCAUCAUCGUUCCAUUGGAUAAUAAUGGACAUGUGGUAACAUGCAGAACUAGUUCAUCAUCGUUCCAUUGGAUAAUAAUGGACAUGUGGUAACAUGCAGAACUAGUUCAUCAUCGUUCCAUUGGAUAAUAAUGGACAUGUGGUAACAUGCAGAACUAGUUCAUCAUCGUUCUAUUGGACAACAAAGGACAUGUUGUAAAAAUAUAAGAUAUUUAUCUAAAGAGACAUCGGCACAUGUAGCAUGAGUCACAAAUGGCACCAUAUUCCGUUAAUAGUGCACUACUUUCUACCAGGCCCCUAAGACACUACUUUCUACCAGGACCCUAGUGCACUACUUUCUACCAGGACCCUAGUGCACUACUUUCUACCAGGACCCUAGUGCACUACUUUCUACCAGGACCCUAGUGCACUACUUUCUACCAGGACCCUAGUGCACUACUUUCUACCAGGCCCCUAGUGCACUACUUUAACCAGGACCCUUGUGCAUUACUAAAUAUAAGAUAUUUAUAAGAUAUUUAUCUAAAGAGACAUCGGCACAUGUAGCAUGAGUCACAAAUGGCACCCUACAGCAUAAUUUGCAAAUAAAUUCAUUAAAAAUCCUACAAUGUGAUUUUCUGGAUUUUUUCUUCUAACUUUGUCUGUCAUUGUUGAAGUGUACCUAUGAUGAAAAUUAC
ensembl:lncRNA